ACUACAGAGAAGUGUGGAGCCCACGGAGAAAAUGGAAUCCAUUUAGCCCCAUGUGUGGUGCACACCUCUAAUCCCAGGACUCUGGGAAGCUGAGGCAGGAAGAUUGCAAGUUCAAGCCCAGCCUGGGGAACUUAGUGACUUCAGGAGACUCUUCAGGAAGGCAAGGCUGGAGGGCUGUAUAGCGACGGCCUCUUGCCUUCUCUGCUGCAGGAAACUAGGACGUUUGGUGCCAGCUGUGAGGAAAUCAGUAAGGCCCGAUCGGCACUCCGAGAAUGGACCAGAGAUGUGCAUAGCUGUUAGCCCUACCUGGGGUCCUGUGGCGCAGAAGUUCCGGGGACUACAGGAGCACAGAGCAGGACUCUUUUGUGGCAGAGCUAGCACCUUGCAGAUGUCGGGGCCAGGAUUUCCCAGAGGAGCGGGCAAUGUUGGGCAAAGGAAGAGUGGGUGUAUUGGGGCAGACAGAUAAGGCUAGCUGCUCUGGCAGAAGCCUGAGGUGAGGAAGGACAAGAGGAGCAGCCGCAGGAUUAUCUGAGAGCCGGGGACAGGGCGUGUUCAGGGAGACUGUGGGGCAGGAUGGAGGAGCUGGUGAGGUUGGGCAAUACUGCCCUCAGUUGCGGUACAGCUCUCUUAUUAUUCCCAUAGACCUUGGUCUUGAACAAGCAUCAGUGCCCUGAAUUACUCUUUUAUGAGCACUUUCCACAGAUCGGAUGAUGGCUCUAGUAUCUCUCCUAGUUCUUCUAUUCUCUGCCCUAAACCUUCCUGGUUCCU
rnacentral:lncRNA from 1 species